rnacentral:rRNA from 1 species
GACGAACGCUGGCGGCGUGCUUAACACAUUCAAGUCGAGCGGAAAGGCCCCUUCGGGGGUACUCGAGCGGCGAACGGGUGAGUAACACGUGAGUAAUCUGCCCUUCACUUUGGGAUAACCCCCGGAAACGGGAGCUAAUACCGGAUACGACCACUCCACGCAUGUGGUGGUGGUGGAAACUUUUUUGGGUGGGGGAUGUGCUCGCGGCCUAUCAGCUUGUUGGUGGGGUAAUGGCCUACCAAGGCUUUGACGGGUAGCCGGCCUGAGAGGGUGACCGGCCACACUGGGACUGAGACACGGCCCAGACUCCUACGGGAGGCAGCAGUGGGGAAUAUUGGACAAUGGGCGGAAGCCUGAUCCAGCAACGCCGCGUGAGGGAUGACGGCCUUCGGGUUGUAAACCUCUUUCAGCACCGACGAAGCGCAAGUGACGGUAGGUGCAGAAGAAGGACCGGCCAACUACGUGCCAGCAGCCGCGGUAAGAC